UACGUAGGGUGCAAGCGUUGUCCGGAAUUAUUGGGCGUAAAGAGCUCGUAGGCGGCCUGUCACGUCGACUGUGAAAACCCGAGGCUCAACCUCGGGCCUGCAGUCGAUACGGGCAGGCUAGAGUUCGGUAGGGGAGACUGGAAUUCCUGGUGUAGCGGUGAAAUGCGCAGAUAUCAGGAGGAACACCGGUGGCGAAGGCGGGUCUCUGGACCAUAGCUGACGCUGAGACACGAAAGCGUGGGUAGCAAACAGG
rnacentral:rRNA from 1 species